rnacentral:rRNA from 1 species
UACGGGGGGGGCAAGCGUUGUUCGGAAUUACUGGGCGUAAAGGGCUCGUAGGCGGCCAACUAAGUCAGACGUGAAAUCCCUCGGCUUAACCGGGGAACUGCGUCUGAUACUGGUUGGCUUGAGUGUGGGAGAGGGAUGCGGAAUUCCAGGUGUAGCGGUGAAAUGCGUAGAUAUCUGGAGGAACACCGGUGGCGAAGGCGGCAUCCUGGACCACGACUGACGCUGAGGAGCGAAAGCCAGGGGAGCAAACGGG